GGCAGGAGCCAUGUCACCCUGCUACUCACUGGUACCCGGUGACCUACUGGAGCUCAGCAGGUCUGAGCCUGGUCAGUACCUGGAUGGGAAACCUGCUGGGAAAACCUAAGGUUGCUGCUGGAA
rnacentral:rRNA from 1 species